GUCCUCGGCCCCGAGCUGCGCCUCUACCACCGCGAAGGCGACUGCGGCGACCACGCUCGAUUUUAUCUAACAGCAGAACUACCUACUAAUGGCUCACAAGAUCGAAAACUAAGCCUGAUUUCUCAGGAAUCUUCCAUUGUGGUGCUUAUGUGUCUAAGAAAUUAACAGGGCAGAGGCUCUAGAGAGGAGGUUUGAUUUUCCUUUUCGGGGUUUGUAGAACGAAUGCAAGAAUUUCUCCUGCAGGUUUGGAUAUGUCCUUAUUUUCAUGGCUCAAUCAUCAAAUGACGUCAAAAUUGAAUUCCUGAAAGCAAGGUGCUACACAUGAAUCAAUCUAUGCAGUGGUAUGGUCAUAUCAUGAGUGCCGAUGACCAUUACACCAGAUGGCAACAGCUCUGGUCGAGAUUCUUGGAGGAGGCGCUGCUGCUGCUCCUCUUGCACGACCAAACUGGGUGUUGCAGCUAUGGUACUUCAAGGAAGUGGAAAGACGCGGUUUCUUCUUUAUGAGGUUCCUAAUACAGCAAUUUGGAAGAAAAACAAUCCAAUGAAGAUGAUAUAUGAGUAGCAGCUCUACUUGUGUUCCAUUGAUUAUUGGUGGGUUGGGGUUUUUUCUAUCAGAAUGAAGGUUGGACUCCAGCACAGAAAGCUAGAUGGCGGAUGUUUGUGAGCAUACUGCACUCUUCUUAUUUUCGUCCUUGAUGUUACUUUCAUUAUUGGGUGGUGUUGAAAUAUAUCAUUCUGCCCUGUCCGAUGCGACUGAGGCCCUUAAAGGUGAUAUUUACUCAGAUUUUCUAUUACAAAAUAUUUGAGUGUAGCAGCAAGGAUGAUUAUACCUAAAGCUCUAGCUUCUUUCCCUCAUUGGUGGGUUUAAUUUUUUCUGCUUGCAUGCCAAGUAGCCGAGCUGACACUUCGGAUAGAUAGGUUGUUUAGUUUCAUAUGCAUCUAUGUUCGCAGAGGCUAAUUUCAUAUUACACUGUAAUUGGAAAACAGAGGAUACCUUGUUGUGUUAUGUUGCCAUCAGUAAUAGAGAGAAAGUUAUGGGAUUAGUAAUCACAUAUUGGUCUUGGUCUGAGAAGAGGGGAAAAUAAUAUAGAUCACACGGUUAUAUACUAAAUGGAACUUGGUUUCAGACUCAGAUCAUGAAAUCAAGAAACCUAAAUAAACUAACUGUACAUAUAUUCAAAACAAACUCAACUGUACCAGUUUUCCAUUUGCUUGCAGUAAGUAACUGGAAAAGAGGAAGAGAUGUUGACCCUAUGCUCAUUAGUGAUGGCAGCGGAGAUCACAUGGUUCAGGUCUUUUGUUAGAAAUAUUGUUUAUGGUGGGCUUUAAACCCUUCUUAAACCUGUCAUGCAGGCAGUGCGAUUCGCCACAAGAAACGCAAAUCGGAGCAUUGCCAAUGCCCCCCUAUAACAGUUUCAGAUAACCGCCAGUCAAACCAUAUGCAUCUCCCAUUCAAACAAUUUAUCUAAAAGAUAUUACUUUCCCAAACUGUAUGUUCUUGGCAUCUUAUGAGAAUGAAAUAAUUCCUGAACUUACUGCAUGAGAAUCCACAGCACUUCAAGCCUAUGCAGAGAAAUACGCAGCAGACAAAGAAGCAUUCUUUAAAAACUAUCCCGAGGCUCAUGCUAAACUGAGCAGCCUAGGUACAAAGUUUGAUCCUGCUGAGACUGAUUUAUGUGGUUGUCCUGCAAGGAUUCUCAUUGGAUGAUUAGCGUUCCGCGUGAGCCAGAACCCUUGAAGCAACAAACAAACUUCAAAAGGACUUGAUCCAUUGCCACUCUCUGACUUGGUAUCGCUAUCUCCAUACGGGAUGAGGCAUUUUCCACUUUCCAGCUUCAUCAAAUUGUUAGAUUUGGUAAUUGAGGUCGUGCGUGCAAAAAUAAUAUAGGCACGCCGAACAAUUGAGCCAUUCAUGUGAACCUGCUCCGAUGAGAAAUUCAUAUCAUUCCAAAAUUAGAUCUGAAAAUUUGUCAAAUUUAUUUUUGGGGUGGAUGUUUUUGUGGCAUCGUUGGCCGACUAAAAGGCGACAUGUUCAACAGUUAGGUGUGGCGGAGAUGCGUAUGUUGAGAUGGAUGUUUGGCCACACGAGGAAGGAUCGAGUCCGGAAUGAUGAUAUACGAGAUAGAGUUGGGGUAGCACCAAUUGAGGAGAAGCUUGUCCAACAUCGUUUGAGAUGGUUUGGGCAUAUUCAGCGCAGGCCUCCAGAAGCUCCAGUGCAUAGCGGACGGCUAAAGCGUGCGGAGAAUGUCAAGAGAGGGCGGGGUCGACCGAUUUUGACAUGGAGGAGUCCGUUAAGAGAGACCUGAAGGAUUGGAGUACCGACAAAGAGCUAGCUAUGGACAGGGGUGCGUGGAAGCUUGCUAUCCAUGUGCCAGAGCCAUGAGUUGGUUGCGAGAUCUUAUGGAUUUCACCUAUAGCCUACCCCAACUUGUUUGGGACUAAAGGCUUUGUUGUUGUUGGAUGUUUUUGUGGCAUCACUACAGCUUCAUUCCACUUGAUCUGGCGCGGCACAGAUAGUUCUCAUGUCAUAAGGUGUGUGGACAAACAGGCGCAAGCGAAACAUUGUUUCACACAACACGGGACACCCACGCCAAUGACAACUCCAGUGAAGCUAGGGGACUUGCAUUUUGAACCAGCGUUCCUGCUUUCAGCAUCUAUAAUCUACGCGUUGCUUCUGUGUUGUUAUUUCGCCUUCUUUAUCUCUUGAGUUGCCAUAAGCUGGGUGACCAAAUCUAUCUAUAUGGUGCACCUUUGUCUAUGUAGUUUUGCUUACCAUGAACCGAUCUCAUGUCUUUCUUGUGGUCUAUAAGCCUACCAUGAAUGUAAUUUAUAGUGCUAUAUAUGAACAUCAUACUAAAUAUCUAUUCCCUUGCUUCAA